UACGGGGGGGGCAAGCGUUGUUCGGAAUUACUGGGCGUAAAGGGCUCGUAGGCGGCCAACUAAGUCAUACGUGAAAUCCCUCGGCUUAACCGGGGAACUGCGUCUGAUACUGGAUGGCUUGAGUUCGGGAGAGGGAUGCGGAAUUCCAGGUGUAGCGGUGAAAUGCGUAGAUAUCUGGAGGAACACCGGUGGCGAAGGCGGCAUCCUGGACCGAUACUGACGAUCAGGUGCGAAAGCGUGGGGAUCAAACAGG
rnacentral:rRNA from 1 species